rnacentral:tRNA from 1 species
GCGCCCGUAGCUCAGCUGGAUAGAGUGCCUGACUACGAAUCAGUAGGUCGGGGGUUCGAAUCCCUCCGGGCGUGCCA